rnacentral:rRNA from 1 species
UGCCAGCCGCCGCGGUAAUACGGAGGGGGCUAGCGUUGUUCGGAAUUACUGGGCGUAAAGCGCGCGUAGGCGGAUUUUUAAGUCAGGGGUGAAAUCCCGGGGCUCAACCUCGGAACUGCCCUUGAUACUGGAGAUCUUGAGUCCGGAAGAGGUUAGUGGAAUUCCCAGUGUAGAGGUGAAAUUCGUAGAUAUUGGGAAGAACACCAGUGGCGAAGGCGGCUAACUGGUCCGGUACUGACGCUGAGGUGCGAAAGCGUGGGGAGCAAACAGGAUUAGAUA